UACGUAGGGUGCUAGCGUUGUCCGGAUUUAUUGGGCGUAAAGAGCUCGUAGGUGGCCUGUCGCGUCGGCUGUAAAAACUCGGGGCUCAACUCCGAGCUUGCAGUCGAUACGGGCAGGCUAGAGUUCGGCAGGGGAGACUGGAAUUCCUGGUGUAGCGGUGAAAUGCGCAGAUAUCAGGAGGAACACCGGUGGCGAAGGCGGGUCUCUGGGCCAUUACUGACGCUGAGGAGCGAAAGCGUGGGGAGCGAACAGG
rnacentral:rRNA from 1 species